CUCGUUCAUUGUAUACCUUUGCCGACUAUUCCCUCUACUUAUAAAUACUAGCGUGGUUGUCGCCGUUUGUGGCUUUUACCUUCCUUCUCAAAGCGAAAGCUCCAUUGAAUUCCAAACAAUGAAAGAAGAAGGCCACCUGCGGAGACAACAAAAACAAUUUAAAUGUUUACACUCUUGGAGAUAUACAUCAGAUCACAGGCUAAGGCCGAGAGAGACUUACCAAAUCUUCUUCUACCAUAUGGAUCCAAAUGUUGAGCACUCUAUAAGAAAUAUAUUACCACCCACUGCAGGAAGCCAUUCUCCUAAGCAGGAGACGUAUCAACAGCGCACGUUAUCUGUUAUUUCAGUGCUAUAUAUAGCCGUCUCUUUUUUUCCUUGGGUUUACGUGCAUAUUCGAACUAUAGGUUAUAUAGGUAAACGAUAUGUUUUUAUUGCUUAAAUAGUAGGAGCUGCUCCUUCUUAUGGUAUUGUUCGUAAUUAACCAAUGCAGAUACAUUUUAUCAAGAUGUAAUGUAGAUAUACUUAUCUGAACAAAGAUGUACCGUAGACAAGUAUGAAAUAUAUGCAUCACGAAUCAUUAAAUGCUUCAGUACGGAUGUCACGUUCUGAUUCGCAAGGCACCAUGCUAAAUGAACUUUCAACAGUAAUGACUUAUUAACUAGAAAUGGGAUGGAGAUCAUCAAGAAAGA